rnacentral:rRNA from 1 species
GAUGAACGCUGGCGCGUGCCUAAUACAUGCAAGUCGAGCGAACAGACGAGGAGCUUUCUUCUCUUACGUUAGCGGCGGACGGGUGAGUAACACGUUGAUAACCUACCUUUAAGACUGGGAUAACUUUCGGAAACCCGAGCUAAUACCCGGUAAUAUAUUUAACCGCAUUGUUCAAUAAUUAAAGACCGUUUUUCUGUUACUUUUUAAUUGAUCCGCGCCGCAUUAGCUAGUUGGUAAGGUAACGGCUUACCAAGGCAACGAUGCGUAGCCGACCUGAGAGGGUGAUCGGCCACACUGGAACUGAGACACGGUCCAGACUCCUACGGGAGGCAGCAGUAGGGAAUCUUCCGCAAUGGGCGAAAGCCUGACGGAGCAACGCCGCGUGAGUGAUGAAGGUCUUCGGAUCGUAAAACUCUGUUAUUAGGGAAGAACAAAUGUGUAAGUAACUAUGCACGUCUUGACGGUACCUAAUCAGAAAGCCACGGCUAACUACGUG